GAUCCGGGACCUGACUGAUGACGUGGCGGCCUUCCUCGAGCAUGUCCAGGGCGUGAAGUCCCUGUUGAAGGCCCUUAGGGAGUACUGGCUGAGCCGCGGGAGUGAACUGGCCCGCAUCCUAGCUGUUACAGAGGCCCAGGCUGUUUCCAUGGUCGAUGCGGGGGUGAGCCUCGGUUGAUCUGAGGGCGCGGCAGGGAAUGAGGACCUUCGGAGCGAUCCCUAGGUUUGAUACCCUUCCCUAGCCAGCCCCUUGGUGCCCGAGGCUCCCCUCGGGUGUUAGCUUUUGUUAUCCUAGGCUUCUUUUGAUGGUUUCCCUUAGCUUUUGUGUGGGCUCCCACCUUGUAAAAAGUUAUCGGAAUGUAACCCGGCCCUCCAUCCCGGCACCCUUUCGGGGCUACAGAAUGAAAGAAAGUUUGUGUUUUCCUUACUAUUAUUCUUCUUGACUUUGUUUUGCCCAGUCACCUAGGCAUUGACGGAAGUUUCCUGCCAUGAAGGGGCUCCCCUCCCCCCUCCCCCUCG
rnacentral:lncRNA from 1 species